rnacentral:tRNA from 1 species
GCACCCGUAGCUCAAUUGGAUAGAGCACCGGUCUUCGGAACCGGGGGUUGGGGGUUCGAGUCCCUCCGGGUGUA